GAGAGCUUGUACAUUUGUUGGUA
rnacentral:siRNA from 1 species